UAAAACAUAGCAAAACAAAAGGAAUUUGCUCAUGUACUGACAGUUUUUAAAAUUUCCUGUGUUUAACUUUCCUCAUCAUAUACAGUUGGCCCUUGAACAAAGUGAGGUUAGGGGUGCCGACCCCUACGCAUUUGAAAAUCUGGGUAUAAGUUUACAGUCAGUGGUUCCGCAUCUGUGGAUUCAACCUACCUUGGAUCGUGUAGGACGAUAGUACGUAUUUAUUGAAAAAUAUCCGUGUGUCAGCGGACCCGCGAGAUUCAAACCCAUGUUGUUCAAGAGUCAACUGUACUUUUCUAGUGUUGCACUUCCCUUAUGUUUUUACCACAUAAUGUACUAAUUACAGUGAAUUAUACUUGUAAAUUGUUCUUAUCUCUACUCUGAAUAGAAGUGAACCUAGAUACUAAGCCUGCUUCCACCAAGAGCAUUAUUUCUUUCUUGUGCAACCUCUGGAUUCUUGCAAGGAGUACUUUAUCCAUUUGUCAGUUUCACAAGUAAUUUUUUAAUACCUCUGUGUGCCAGAUACGGGUCAGGCACUAGGGAUAAAGCAGUGAACCAGACAGACAGAAGUCUUUCCCUCAUGGAACUUACAUUCUAGUGAAGGAGUUCAGAUAGAAAUGAGUAAACAGAUAAGUAAUAUAAUGUUAGAUAGUAGGAAGUGCAAAAGUAAUGUAAGGAGAUUGGGGGGGCAGGUAGGACUCCAUUGUAUAGGUUUGUUAGGGGACAGCUUCACUGGAGAAGUGGCAUUUGAAUGGAGACCUGAAUGAAGAGAGGAGCAAGCCAUGGAAGAUCUGGGAUCAUUCUGUGAUGAAGGCAGUUACCAAAAAAGGUCUCCAGAAUGGAAGGAGUGCCAGGUCAGAGUACCAGUGGAUAACUUCUCCAUCGUGAAGGAACCAUCCAAAGCUGCUAGACAGAAGAAGAGAACUCUAAUUUUGGGAAGUGGUUGAAAAGGAAAAGCUACUAUUACAAUUGGUAACUCUUUCUUGUUUUGAAUGCUACUAGAACUUAUACCCCUUAUGUUUUCCGGUGUGCUAAAAUUAAAACAGCCAGUAUUAACCACAGGCAUAGUAGGAGGCCUAUAAUUAUUUUGAUAC